rnacentral:rRNA from 1 species
UACGGAGGGUGCAAGCGUUGUCCGGAUUUAUUGGGUUUAAAGGGUGCGUAGGCGGCCCUCUAAGUCAGUGGUGAAAUACUGCAGCUUAACUGUAGCAUUGCCAUUGAUACUGGAGGGCUUGAGUACAGAUGAGGUAGGCGGAAUUUAUGGUGUAGCGGUGAAAGUGACGUAGAUAUCUGGAGGAACACCGGUGGCGAAGGCGGCUAUCUGGCCCGUAAUUGACGCUGAGGCGCGAAAGCGUGGGGAGCAAACAGG